AGUGAACGCUGGCGGUAGGCCUAACACAUGCAAGUCGAACGGCAGCACAGUAAGAGCUUGCUCUUACGGGUGGCGAGUGGCGGACGGGUGAGGUAUACAUCGGAAUCUACUUUUUCGUGGGGGAUAACGUAGGGAAACUUACGCUAAUACCGCAUACGACCUACGGGUGAAAGCAGUGGAUCUUCGGACCUUGCGCGAUUGAAUGAGCCGAUGUCGGAUUAGCUAGUUGGCGGGGUAAAGGCCCACCAAGGCGACGAUCCGUAGCUGGACUGAGAGAAUGGUCAGCCACACUGGAACUUGGACACGGUCCAGACUCCUAAGGGAGGCAGCAGUGGGGAAUAUUGGACAAAGGGCGCAAGCCUGAUCCAGCCAUACCGCGUGGGUGAAGAAGGCCUUCGGGUUGUAAAGCCCUUUUGUUGGGAAAGAAAAGCAGCAGGUUAAUACCCCGCUGUUCUGACGGUACCCAAAGAAUAAGCACCGGCUAACUUCGUG
rnacentral:rRNA from 1 species